AGUCGGUCCUUUUAUCGACGAGGCUACACACGUACUACAAUGCGGUACAAAGGGCAGCCACUUAGCGAUAAGGAGCCAAUCCCGUAAACGCGGUCUCAGUCCGGAUUGGAGUCUGCAACUCGACUCCAUGAAGUUGGAAUCGCUAGUAAUCGCAGAUCAGCACGCUGCGGUGAAUACGUUCCCGGGCCUU
rnacentral:rRNA from 1 species